rnacentral:rRNA from 1 species
GCCCCCAUCAAGUCCAUAUAUUUGCUCUUGACCUCGGAUCAGGUAGGGAUACCCGCUGAACUUAAGCAUAUCAAUAAGCCGGAGGAAGAACUUACCAUUACCUCAACUGGCGGGUUUUCAGCGGUGCUUUUGUGCCACUGAUGCCACUGUUUGAGUUCCCAUGCUUUUUGCGUACAAUUGUU